CAGCCGCCGCGGGAAUACGUAGGUCCCGAGCGUUGUCCGGAUUUAUUGGGCGUAAAGCGAGCGCAGGCGGUUAGAUAAGUCUGAAGUUAAAGGCUGUGGCUUAACCAUAGUACGCUUUGGAAACUGUUUAACUUGAGUGCAGAAGGGGAGAGCGGAAUUCCAUGUGUAGCGGUGAAAUGCGUAGAUAUAUGGAGGAACACCGGUGGCGAAAGCGGCUCUCUGGUCUGUAACUGACGCUGAGGCUCGAAAGCGUGGGGAGCAAACAGGAUUAGAUACCCCUGUAGUCCCUGUCUCUUAUACA
rnacentral:rRNA from 1 species